rnacentral:rRNA from 1 species
GCUCGUGUCGUGAGAUGUUGGGUUAAGUCCCGCAACGAGCGCAACCCUUGCCCUUAUUUGCCAGCGGUUCGGCCGGGAACUCUAAAGGGACUGCCGGUGACAAACCGGAGGAAGGUGGGGACGACGUCAAGUCAUCAUGGCCCUUACGGGCAGGGCUACACACGUGCUACAAUGGCCGGUACAGAAGGUCGCUAACCCGCGAGGGGGCGCCAAUCCUCAAAGCCGGUCGUAGUCCGGAUCGAAGUCUGCAACUCGACUUCGUGAAGUCGGAAUCGCUAGUAAUCGCGAAUCAGCAUUGUCGCGGUGAAUACGUUCCCGGGUCUUGUACACACCGCCCGUCACACCAUGGAAGUUGGUUGCACCAGAAGUGGGUAGCCUAACCUUAGGGAGGGCGCUCACCACGGUGUGGCCAGCAACUGGGGUGAAGUCGUAACAAGGUAGCCGUACGGGAACGUGCGGCUGGAUCACCUCCUUUAAGAGCAA